UACGUAGGGUGCGAGCGUUGUCCGGAAUUACUGGGCGUAAAGAGCUCGUAGGUGGUUUGUCGCGUUGUCCGUGAAAACUCACAGCUUAACUGUGGGCGUGCGGGCGAUACGGGCAGACUGGAGUACUGCAGGGGAGACUGGAAUUCCUGGUGUAGCGGUGGAAUGCGCAGAUAUCGGGAAGAACACCUAUGGCGAAGGCAGCUCUCUGGGACGGUACUGACGCUGAGACGCGAAAGCGUGGGGAGCGAACAGG
rnacentral:rRNA from 1 species